rnacentral:rRNA from 1 species
UCGAACGGGGAAGCUACACUUCGGUGUAGUUGGAGAGUGGCGCACGGGUGAGUAACACGUAACUGAUCUGCCCUAGAGAGGGGGAUAACUACUGGAAACAGUAGCUAAUACCCCAUAAGCUCACAUUGUUUAGAAAGAUGUGAGAAAAACUCCGGUGCUCUAGGAUGAGGUUGCGUCCCAUCAGCUAGUUGGUGUGGUAAAGGCACACCAAGGCGACGACGGGUAGGGGACCUGAGAGGGUGACCCCCCACACUGGGACUGAGACACGGCCCAGACUCCUACGGGAGGCAGCAGUGAGGAAUAUUGCACAAUGGACGCAAGUCUGAUGCAGCGACGCCGCGUGGGCGAAGAAGGUUUUCGGAUCGUAAAGCCCUUUUCUAUGUGACGAGAAAGGACGGUGGCAUAGGAAUAAGUGUCGGCUAACUACGUGCCAGCAGCCGCGGUAAAACGUAGGACGCAAACGUUAUCCGGAGUUACUGGGCGUAAAGCGCGUGCAGGCGGUUAUGUAAGUUACCUAUGAAAGCUCUCGGCUAAACUGAGAGAGGAUAGGUGAAACUGCAUGACUAGAGUGAGGUAGAGGUGAGUAGAAUUCCAGGUGUAGUGGUGAAAUGCGUAGAUAUCUGGAGGAAUACCAGUGGCGAAGGCGGCUCACUGGCCCUCAACUGACGCUGAGACGCGAAAGCGUGGGUAGCGAACGGGAUUAGAAACCCCGGUAGUCCACGCUGUAACGAUGUACAUUAGGUGUUCGUAUGCCUGCGGGUAUAUGAGUAUCGAAGCAAACGCGAUAAAUGUACCGCCUGGGGAGUACGGUCGCAGGCUAAAACUCAAAGGGAUUUGACGGGGGCCCGCACAAGCAG